UUGAAGAAUUUACUCAUAAUGUGGGAUGUUAAAUCAUGAAGCACUUUGAUCUUGACAUAAAUUUGAUGUCAAGACAAGAAAUUCAACAGAAACAUCCAUGUCUCUAUAAUUCUUCUGAAUCAACAUUCUACUAACGAAAGUUAUCUUUCUCAUUAAUCCGACGAUGCAGAACAUUUUAUUUUAUGUGGACAUUUUGUAGGUUUCAUUGAAUGGCAUGUGUGAAAUACAACCUUACAUCAAAAAUGAACUUAAUUACAAAAUCUUGGAGUCAUUUUUAAAGAACUCAUUCUUGAUGUAGACAAUUCUGUCAGAUUGUCAAAGGAUUGAGACUGCGAAUUCUAAUCGUAACAAAUUUACAUGCAAAGGGUGUAAUUUCAUAAAAUUUGAAAGCCACGUUUGUCAAAAUUUUGCAUCAUUGAGACUGCAAAUUCGCACCUUUUGUAAGAUCAAAUGUUCAAAAAAACAACUACGAUACUACACUAGGUUUUAAUUUCUAUUUUUUUAGAUUUUAAUUCUCAGAUUAGAAUAUAUAUAUAUAUAUAUAUAUAUAUAUAUAGUUUGAAAUCGGAAACAGUUUUCUAUGGCAUCAACCAACAAUGAAACCAUUGCCACUGGAAAUAGCUCACAAAUGAACUUAGGAACAACUUCAAACAAAGCAAGCUCUAGUAACAAUGAAUCCAUACACAACGAAAUGCACAAAACGAAAAUAAAGAGUGAACUCCCACUAGACCAUGAGAAUAAAGAUUCUGAAGCCAGUGCGGCGGAUGGGAAUGGGCCACAGCCAGGCCACAUUAUCUCCACCACCAUCGGAGGCAAGAAUGGGCAACCCAAGCAGACCAUCAGCUACUCGGCAGAGCGCGUCGUCGGAAGCGGCUCCUUCGGCAUCGUAUUUCAGGCCAAGUGCAUUGAGACGGGGGAGACAGUGGCGAUCAAGAAGGUGCUACAAGACAAGCGGUACAAGAACCGGGAGCUGCAGAUCAUGCGGCUGGUGGACCACCCGAACGUGGUGGCGCUACGGCACUUCUUCUUCUCGACCAGCACCGACACGCAGGAGCUGUACUUGAACCUGGUACUAGAGUAUGUGCCGGAGACGGUAUACCGGGUGGCGCAGCACUACCAUCGCCUCAACCAGCGCAUCCCACUCCUCUUCGUCAAGCUCUACACUUACCAGAUGUGCCGCUCCCUCGCCUACAUCCACAACGCCGUAGGCGUCUGCCACCGAGACAUCAAGCCCCAAAACCUCCUCGUGAAUCCUCACACGCAUCAAUUGAAGCUCUGUGAUUUUGGAAGCGCAAAGGUUUUGGUGAAAGGGGAGCCGAAUAUAGCGUACAUCUGCUCUCGGUACUACCGAGCCCCGGAGCUGAUCUUCGGGGCCACGGAGUACACAACCGCCAUCGACGUCUGGUCCGUCGGAUGCGUCAUGGCCGAGCUCCUCCUCGGCCAGCCCAUGUUCCCAGGUGAGAGCGGAGUGGAUCAAUUGGUGGAGAUCAUCAAGGUGCUGGGGACUCCCACGCGGGAGGAGAUAAAGAGCAUGAAUCCGAAUUAUACGGAGUUCAAGUUCCCGGAGAUAAAAGCGCAGUCUUGGCAGAACGUGUUCCCCAAGAGGACCACCCCCGACGUCCUCGACCUCCUCUCCCACUUCCUCCAGUUCUCCCCCGACCUCCGCUGCUCACCUGUCAGUAUUGGAGGCAUGUGUGCAUCCAUUUUUUGAUGAGCUUCGGGAUCCCAAUUGCCGUCUUCCAAAUGGGCGAGCAUUGCCUCCUCUCUUCAACUUCAAACCUCAAGAGUUGAAGAAUGCAAGUCAAGAGAUCUUGCAAUGCUUAAUACCCGAGCAUGUCAGAAGGCAAAGUGCCACACUCACAUCAUGAAUUACAACAACGGGUGAGAAAAAUAUUUAAAAAACAAUUAUAAAAGUAACAGAGAAAGACUCUUAAAGACAAAUAAGAAGACUAUGUCUUUAUGUAAAGUAAAGGCAAGAGAGGACAUUUAGAUCCUGUUUUUUUUGUUUUUGUUUUUAUUUUUGUUUUGUUUUUUCCUACCGUGAGACUCUCGAGGGAUUUGAAUCCCAUGCUGAGUCUGUGGCUUUGUUCUUGAGCAUGAACUGUUUUAAAAAAAUUCUCCCAUUUUUUGCAAAUUGAGCUGUUAAAAACUCUCAGAAAACUGAUUUUUCAUUAAAGUUUUUGGAACA